UACGGAGGGUGCGAGCGUUGUCCGGAAUCACUGGGCGUAAAGGGCUCGUAGGCGGCCAACUAAGUCAGACGUGAAAUCCCUCGGCUUAACCGGGGAACUGCGUCUGAUACUGGAUGGCUUGAGAUUGGGAGAGGGAUGCGGAAUUCCAGGUGUAGCGGUGAAAUGCGUAGAGAUGUGGAGGAACACCAGUGGCGAAGGCGGCUUUCUGGUCUGUAACUGACGCUGAGGCGCGAAAGCGUGGGGAGCAAACAGG
rnacentral:rRNA from 1 species